rnacentral:rRNA from 1 species
AGCGGCGGACGGGUGAGUAACACGUGGGUAACCUGCCCAAGAGACUGGGAUAACACCUGGAAACAGAUGCUAAUACCGGAUAACAACACUAGACGCAUGUCUAGAGUUUGAAAGAUGGUUCUGCUAUCACUCUUGGAUGGACCUGCGGUGCAUUAGCUAGUUGGUAAGGUAACGGCUUACCAAGGCAAUGAUGCAUAGCCGAGUUGAGAGACUGAUCGGCCACAUUGGGACUGAGACACGGCCCAAACUCCUACGGGAGGCAGCAGUAGGGAAUCUUCCACAAUGGACGAAAGUCUGAUGGAGCAACGCCGCGUGAGUGAAGAAGGGUUUCGGCUCGUAAAGCUCUGUUGGUAGUGAAGAAAGAUAGAGGUAGUAACUGGCCUUUAUUUGACGGUAAUUACUUAGAAAGUCACGGCUAACUACGUGCCAGCAGCCGCGGUAAUACGCAGGUGGCAAGCGUUGUCCGGAUUUAUUGGGCGUAAAGCGAGUGCAGGCGGUUCAAUAAGUCUGAUGUGAAAGCCUUCGGCUCAACCGGAGAAUUGCAUCAGAAACUGUUGAACUUGAGUGCAGAAGAGGAGAGUGGAACUCCAUGUGUAGCGGUGGAAUGCGUAGAUAUAUGGAAGAACACCAGUGGCGAAGGCGGCUCUCUGGUCUGCAACUGACGCUGAGGCUCGAAAGCAUGGGUAGCGAACAGGAUUAGAUACCCUGGUAGUCCAUGCCGUAAACGAUGAGUGCUAAGUGU